rnacentral:rRNA from 1 species
AUACGUAGGUGGCAAGCGUUACUCGGAAUCACUGGGCGUAAAGCGCGCGCAGGCGGCCUGAUAAGUUGGAUGUGAAAGCCUACGGCUCAACCGUAGAACUGCAUCCAAAACUGUCAGGCUAGAGUGUGAGAGAGGAAGAUGGAAUUAGUUGUGUAGGGGUAAAAUCCGUAGAGAUAACUAGGAAUACCAAAAGCGAAGGCAAUCUUCUGGAACACUACUGACGCUGAGGCGCGAAGGCGUGGGGAGCAAACAGAAUUAGAAACCCCAGUAGUCC